rnacentral:misc_RNA from 1 species
AAGUCGUAACAAGGUAGCCGUAUCGGAAGGUGCGGCUGGAUCACCUCCUUUCUAAGGAAAACAGGGAGUCAUGGUACUAUUUUCUUUUGUAUGACCUUUAGGUUAUACAAAAGGAUCGUAGUUUCUGGCAAUUUUCUUUAUUUUUAUAAAGAUGAAAAUUGACAUAAACUGCGUUAGUUUUUACACCGCUCAUGCGCUAACGCUUAAUGAGCUGCCAAAUUGAAAAUUUGGGUAAAAACGUCAAAGUGGUCAUUGAAAACAGCAUAGUGUAUUAAAAAAACAUACAAUUUCAGAUGUUAACAACAUAAGAAAAACGUAAGUUAAAGGAUCGUAGUUUUAGGACUACAGGCGACUGACGAAGUUCUACUGUCAGUUGUUAAGGAUCAAGAAAUGAAGGGCACAGGGCGGAUGCCUUGGCACUCAGAGCCGAUGAAGGACGCGACAAGCUGCGAAAAGCUGCGUGAAGGUGCACAUAACCGUUGAAGCGCAGAUAUCCGAAUGGGGCAACCCA